rnacentral:rRNA from 1 species
ACGGAAGGCAGCAGUGGGGAAUAUUGGGCAAUGGGCGCAAGCCUGACCCAGCAACGCCGCGUGAAGGAAGAAGGCUUUCGGGUUGUAAACUUCUUUUGUGAGGGACGAGAAGAAGACGGUACCUCAUGAAUAAGCCACGGCUAACUACGUGCCAGCAGCCGCGGUAAUACGUAAGUUGCGAGCGUUGUUCGGAAUUAUUGGGCGUAAAGGGCAUGUAGGCGGAUAUGCAAGCUUGGUGUGAAAGGCGGGAGCUCAACUCCCGAACUGCGUUGAGAACUGCAUAACUAGAGUGACUGAGGGGCAGGCAGAAUUCCAGGUGUAGGGGUGAAAUCUGUAGAUAUCUGGAAGAAUACCAAUGGCGAAGGCAGCCUGCCAGCAGAUGACUGACGCUGAGGUGCGAAGGUGCGGGGAGCAAACAGGAUUAGAUACCCUGGUA